rnacentral:lncRNA from 1 species
UUGAGAGAGAGAGAGAGAGAUAGAGAGAAAGAGGGUCUGUUUUCCUUGAUUGGUCUGUUUGUGAGGCAUCAUGCCUUCAUUUUCAUCACCAUAAUGAAGCUUGGCGUGUUUCAAGUGUUAAUGGUCCUCAUUAACAAGGACAAGGACAAGGACAAGGACAAGGACAUGGCUGCCUUACAAUGGCCGUGCCUAGUGGGAGACACAGUGGAUUUACAGGAGCCAUUUUAUUUACACCAUGGUCUCAGCAGAGUACAAUGCAGUUACUCAGAAUCUUCAGGUGCUUGGCAGCAAAUUUGGUGACUGGAAUUUGUCACUGGUUCUCUAAAUUGGUGGUGUUGGACCCACCUUUUAUUUGUGGAGAGCCAUAAUAGUUGCAAAGCAGCAGCAUAAUUUGGAAUGGUACAACUACUAGCCAAGCCUCCCUUUUCCUUCUGUUUUCUACAUUUCAAUUGUUGGUGCGUACCACAAACUGCGGUCUUUUGAUGGUGGACUCUAUGAUUAGGUUAAUUUAAUGUAGAGCUACCAAUCCCUGAAAAAGUAAAAUAAAAAAAAUAGGAUUUGUUUGGUAUUUUUUUCCUGUUCCUUUUUUUUAAGUAGAAACAUGGGAUCCCAUGCAAAAAAAAAAGUUAUUUGGUUAUUUUGUUUCUAUUUUUGAAAUAACUUUUAUUAUUUAUGGAAAAAGCAGAAGUAAAAAUAUUUUUCUUCUACAUCUAAAAAGUAGGGAUGCUUCCAGAUUUAAUAGCCAUGGAUGCA